UGCUUGUGUGCGGACAGAACCACAGAGGCCAGCUGGGACUUGGUCACAAUGCAGACAUCUCAACUCUUCAGCUCUGUCCCAGCCUGAGUCAGAGGGUCACAAAAGUAGCCUGUGGUUGGGAUUUUACUCUUCUUCUAACUGACUGUGGUCGAGUUCUGGCAUGUGGCUCCAAUGCAUUUGGACAACUAGGUGUUGGACAAACAGUCAAACACUCUGCUGAUCUGCUAGAUGUUGAGAGUCUAAAGGAGCCAGCGGUGAGUGUAGCAGCAGGACUCAGACACUCACUAGCUGUUACUG